rnacentral:sRNA from 1 species
UUUCCGUAGGUGAACCUGCGGAAGGAUCAUUACAGUUAUUUUAGUCCGAGCCAGCGCUUAACUGCGCGGCGAGGAAUAAAACCUUACACACAAUGUUUUUUGUUUUGUUUAACAUAUUGCUUUGGCUUGGCCGCAAGGUCGGGCCAAAGACUAGCCUAAACUUCAAUUUUUUAUUGAAUUGUUUUUAAAUUAUCUGUUUAAUUUUGUUUGAUUAAUUUCAAAAAUAAUCUUCAAAACUUUCAACAACGGAUCUCUUGGUUCUCGCAUCGAUGAAGAACGCAGCGAAAUGCGAUAAGUAAUAUGAAUUGCAGAUUUUCGUGAAUCAUCGAAUCUUUGAACGCACAUUGCGCCCCUUGGUAUUCCAAGGGGCAUGCCUGUUUGAGCGUCAUUUCUCUCUCAAACCCUUGGGUUUGGUAUUGAGUGAUACUCUUAGUCGGACUAGGCGUUUGCUUGAAAAAUAAUGGCAAGAGUGUACUAGAUAGUACGGUUCUGAUUUUAUUCAAUGUAUUAGGUUUAUCCAACUCGUUGAACGUAGGUCGGGGCGUAAAUUUCUGGUGAUUGGCUCGGCCUUAUAACAACAAACAAGUUUGACCUCAAAUCAGGUAAGAAUACCCGCUGAACUUAA